rnacentral:tRNA from 1 species
AACACUUGGGGUUCCCUAUAGACUCAAUGGUUAGGGUUCCCUAAAACCUCAAUGUUUAGGGUUCCCUAUAACCUCAGUGUUUGGGGUUCCCUAUAUGUCAACACUUGGGGUUCCCUGUAGACUCAAUGUUUGGGUUCCCUGUAACCUCAGUGUUUGGGGUUCCCUAUAUGUCAACACUUGGGGUUCCCUGUAACCUCAGUGUUUGGUUUCCCCUAUAACCUCGGUGUUUGGGGUUCCCUCUAUGUCAACACUUGGGGUUCCCCACUGACUCAAUGUUUAGGGUCCCCCUAUAACCUUGGUGUUUGGGGUUCCCUAUAUGUCAACACUUGGGGUUCCCUGUAGGCUCAAUUUUAGGGUUCCCUCGUGGCAUUUUGGGGUCCCCCAUUCCUCCACACACGCAGGGUGCUGCAGGGUCUCUUCCCCAAUGGGGCGCUGGGUUUGAUGCUCCCCCAUCCCACAGGACGGACGCAGGAGCUCCGUAGGGCGGAAAGGGCACCGAGUUUAUUUCCCCCUUCUCCUCUGGUUUCCCCCUAUGGCAGGAGGACGUUUCUCCCCGCGGCCAGACGCUCUCCACCUUCAGCUCCCCAUAGAGAAGGAGGAGGAAGAGUAGGAGGAAGAGGAGGAGGAGGAGGAGGAGGAGGAGGAGGGGGAGGAAGGCUGCAGGGUGUCAGGAUGGCCGAGUGGUCUAAGGCGCCAGACUCAAGGCUGAGCCUUCCCGAUGGGAUUUCUGGUCUCCGUAUGGAGGCGUGGGUUCAAAUCCCACUUCUGACACAGCUUUUUUUUUUUUUUUCCCCUACCCAAAUUUGGGAAAAUUCCCCUUUUUCCCCCUCACCCCACGCCUUGCUGCCCUACACCCACAGACCCCACAGACCCCAGACAUGCACACAACCCCUCUGCAAAGCUCUGCAGAAAGCACGAGUGGGGCACAAAGGACCCAGUGACCCCAAGUGGGCAGCGCAGAGCCCCCCACCCACGGGUGAACCCCCACAGCGGGGUCACCAGUGGGACCCCCCCACCAGGACCCCAAAACCCCCUCCCUGGUGGUCUAGUGGUCAGGAUUCGGCGCUCUCACCGCCGCGGCCCGGGUUCGAUUCCCGGUCAGGGAAAGUUUGUGUUUUUUUUUUUCUUUUUUCUAGAGAAACUCCUCCCCAAAUCAUUUCUCUAUUUAAUUUCUGGAAGCGGAUCCAGCCCCGAAAGCACAUAUUUAAUUUGGAACGGGUGAGCCGUUCCACUGCCACCUCCCACCCCUUCCAGCAAACCUAA